AUUGAACGCUGGCGGCAUGCCUUACACAUGCAAGUCGAACGGUAACAGGUUAAGGUGCCGUGUGGCGUACGGGUGAGUAAUACAUCGGAAAGUGCCCCGUCGUGGGGGAUAGCCCGGCGAAAGCCGGAUUACUACCACAUACGCACAAAGGGUGAACGGGGGGGCUCUUAAUGACACCCCCGAUUGGAACGGCCGAUGUCGGAUCGGCUAGUUGGGGGGGUAAAGGAUUACCAAGCCAACGCUCUGAACCGGGUCUGAGUGGACGAUCAGACACACUGGGACUGAGACACGGCCCAGACUCCUACGGGAGGCAGCAGUGGGGAAUUUUGGACAAUGAGCGGAAGCCUGAUCCAGCCAUGCCGCGUGCGGGAAGAAGGCCUUCGGGUUGUAAACCGCUUUUGUCAGGGAAGAAAUCCUUUGGGUUAAUACCUCGGGGGGAUGACGGUACCUGAAGAAUAAGCACCGGCUAACUACGUG
rnacentral:rRNA from 1 species